AUAUGGACAAUGGGUGUCAACCGUGAUCUAGCAAUGCCGCGUGUGUGAAGAAGGCCUUUCCGGGUUUGUAAAAGCACCUUUUUGUUCCGGAAAAGAAAACGUUCGUUGGCUAAUACCCGUUGGCGGAUGACGGUACCGGAAGAAUAAGCACCGGCUAACUACGUUGCCAGCAGCCGCGGUAAUACGUAGGGUGCAAGCGUUAAUCGGAAUUACUGGGCGUAAAGCGUGCGCAGGCGGUUCGCUAAGACAGAUGUGAAAUCCCCGGGCUUAACCUGGGAACUGCAUUUGUGACUGGCGGGCUAGAGUAUGGCAGAGGGGGGUAGAAUUCCACGUGUAGCAGUGAAAUGCGUAGAGAUGUGGAGGAAUACCGAUGGCGAAGGCAGCCCCCUGGGCCAAUACUGACGCUCAUGCACGAAAGCGUGGGGAGCAAACAGGAUUAGAUACCCUGGUAGUCCACGCCCUAAACGAUGUCAACUGGUUGUCGGGCCUUCAUUGGCUUGGUAACGUAGCUAACGCGUGAAGUUGACCGCCUGGGGAGUACGGUCGCAAGAUUAAAACUCAAAGGAAUUGACGGGGACCCGCACAAGCGGUGGAUGAUGUGGAUUAAUUCGAUGCAACGCGAAAAACCUUACCUACCCUUGACAUGUACGGAACCCUGCUGAGAGGUGGGGGUGCCCGAAAAGGGAGCCGUAAACACAGGUGCUGCAUGGCUUGUCGCCAGCUCGUGUAGAU
rnacentral:rRNA from 1 species